AUUGAACGCUGGCGGUAUGCUUAACAUAUGCAAGUCGAACGGCAGCAUGGUCUAGCUUGCUAGACUGAUGGCGAGUGGCGGACGGGUGAGUAACGCGUAGGAAUAUGCCUUGAAGAGUGGGACAACUUGGGGAAACUCAAGCUAAUACCGCAUGUACUCGAGAGAGUAAAGCUGGGGACCUUUAGGCCUGGCGCUUUAAGAUUAGCCUGCGUCCGAUUAGCUAGUUGGUAGGGUAAAGGCCUACCAAGGCGACGAUCGGUAGCUGGUCUGAGAGGAUGAUCAGCCACACUGGAACUGAGAGACGGUCCAGACUCCUACGGGAGGCAGCAGUGGGGAAUAUUGGACAAUGGGGGGAACCCUGAUCCAGCAAUGCCGCGUGUGUAAAGAAGGCCUGAGGGUUGCAAAGCACUUUCAGUGGGGAGGAGGUUUGGGAGGUUAAGAGCUAUUCAAAUGGACGUUACCCACAGAAGAAGCACCGGCUGACUCCGUGCCAGCCGCCGCCGUAA
rnacentral:rRNA from 1 species